rnacentral:rRNA from 1 species
GAAGGGGGCGAGCGUUGGUCGGAAUUACUGGGCGUAAAGGGCGCGUAGGCGGCCGAUCAAGUCAGAUGUGAAAGUCCUGGGCUUAACCUGGGGACUGCAUUUGAUACUGAUUGGCUUGAAUGCAGGAGAGGAUAGCGGAAUUCCCAGUGUAGAGGUGAAAUUCGUAGAUAUUGGGAAGAACACCGGUGGCGAAGGCGGCUAUCUGGACUGUGAUUGACGCUGAGGCGCGAAAGCGUGGGGAGCAAACAGG